rnacentral:tRNA from 1 species
AUUUAUAUAGUUUAUAUUAAAACCCUUCAUUUUCAAUGAAGUAAUAAGAGAUCCUCUUUAUAAAUA